rnacentral:rRNA from 1 species
AUAGCAAGUCGAGCGGACAGAAGGGAGCUUGCUCCCGGAUGUUAGCGGCGGACGGGUGAGUAACACGUGGGUAACCUGCCUGUAAGACUGGGAUAACUCCGGGAAACCGGAGCUAAUACCGGAUAGUUCCUUGAACCGCAUGGUUCAAGGAUGAAAGACGGUUUCGGCUGUCACUUACAGAUGGACCCGCGGCGCAUUAGCUAGUUGGUGGGGUAAUGGCUCACCAAGGCGACGAUGCGUAGCCGACCUGAGAGGGUGAUCGGCCACACUGGGACUGAGACACGGCCCAGACUCCUACGGGAGGCAGCAGUAGGGAAUCUUCCGCAAUGGACGAAAGUCUGACGGAGCAACGCCGCGUGAGUGAUGAAGGUUUUCGGAUCGUAAAGCUCUGUUGUUAGGGAAGAACAAGUGCGAGAGUAACUGCUCGCACCUUGACGGUACCUAACCAGAAAGCCACGGCUAACUACGUGCCAGCAGCCGCGGUAAUACGUAGGUGGCAAGCGUUGUCCGGAAUUAUUGGGCGUAAAGGGCUCGCAGGCGGUUUCUUAAGUCUGAUGUGAAAGCCCCCGGCUCAACCGGGGAGGGUCAUUGGAAACUGGGAAACUUGAGUGCAGAAGAGGAGAGUGGAAUUCCACGUGUAGCGGUGAAAUGCGUAGAGAUGUGGAGGAACACCAGUGGCGAAGGCGACUCUCUGGUCUGUAACUGACGCUGAGGAGCGAAAGCGUGGGGAGCGAACAGGAUUAGAUACCCUGGUAGUCCACGCCGUAAACGAUGAGUGCUAAGUGUUAGGGGGUUUCCGCCCCUUAGUGCUGCAGCUAACGCAUUAAGCACUCC